rnacentral:rRNA from 1 species
GAUGAACGCUGGCGGCGUGCCUAAUACAUGCAAGUCGAGCGAACGGACGAUAAGCUUGCUGCUCUGAUGUUAGCGGCGGGCGGGUGAGUAACACGUGGAUAACCUACCUAUAAGACUGGGAUAACUUCGGGAAACCGGAUCUAAUACCGGAGGAUAUUUUGAACCGCAGUGUGCAAAAGUAAAAGACGGUCUUGCUGUCACUUAUAGCUGGAUCAGGGCUGCAUUAGCUGGUUGGUAAGGUAACGGCUUACCAAGGCAACGAUGCAUAGCCGACCGGACAGGGUGAUCGGCCACACUGGAACUGAGACACGGUCCAGACGCCUACGGGAGGCAGCAGUAGGGAAUCUUCGGCAAUGGGCGAAAGCCUGACGCAGCAACGCCGCGUGAGUGAUGAAGGCCUUCGGAUCGUAAAACCCUGUUAUUAGGGAAGAACCGAUGUGGAAGGAAACGUGCACAUAUUGACGGUACCUAAUCAGAAAGCAACGGCUAACUACGUG